GCCAGCAGCCAUGUCACCCUGCAACUCACAACUGGCAACCCACUGAAACUAAGCAGGUGCGAGCAAGGUCAGUACCUGGAUGGGAGACCUCCUGGGAAAAACUAAGGUUGCUGCUGGAA
rfam:Lepisosteus oculatus linkage group LG9, whole genome shotgun sequence.